CCCGCUGCCUCAUCCGCCCCGCCCCGCCGUCCCGCUCGCCGUGGCCGUGGCUGAUGACCACGACCCCGCCGUCCCGCCUCGCCCGUCCCGCUCGCAGUGGCCGAUGCCCCGCGGCCUCGCCAGCCCCGCCCCGUCCGUCCCGCUCGCCAUGGCCGAUGCCCCGCGGCCCCACCCCGCCCGUCCCGCUCGCCGUGGCCGAUGACCGCGCCACCAGGGACCGCGGCCACUCGAUGAGGAGGCCUGGACCCUGGCGCAGACCCAAGCUCCCGAGCGGCGGCAGCGGGCAGAUCCCUCCUCAUCGCGGAGCCCCUCCUGCCGGCGCCACGCCGCGCCGCGAUGCUGCUCGCCGUUGCUCUGAUCUGACCAGGUAGGCCGGGUAGGCUCCUCGUCGGCGUCGGCUUCCCCUGCCUGCCACUCCUCUCCUCUGAUGGAGUUGACCUUUGCUGGAGAGGACAAGUUUGGAUGCCCCUGCACCUUUGGUGGUGGGCUAGCGGCCCCUCCUCUUCUCCACGAGCAAGCAUUGUCGGCCGUCGCCCCGUCUCUUCUCCUCUCCGGUCGCCAUGGAGCGUUGGAGCCCUUGAAGCAUUCGAAUGGAGCACAUAUAGGCAUUCUCCCUCUCCCUUUUGUGGGUUUACCUAUUCAUCCGCUCAAGAUCUAUUCGAUUAAAUAUGUUGAUCUGUUCAUCCUCUCGGCUCAGGAAGCAACUCAUUUUGGAUCAGAACAAUAUAUAAUUUUGUGACUUGGUCAGGUCUCAGGUUGUCCUUUCUGCUUCUAUCUGAUUGUGUAUAGGUAGUUGGCUGUGUUUUGGGUACUGAUAUGGUUUAGUUAAGGCCAUAUUUUUGGUUAAUGCCAAAUCUAAUUGGAGGUUUAGUUCGGUUAAAAAGAUGAUGCCAUGUGACAUUCAGUAUUUAUGUCCAUAUUUCAGAUCAUAUGCAAAUAAACUAUUUAAAUGGACACUGCAGUUCACACUCUCUCCCUGAUGUUAACUCUAUUCUGUUGGAUAAAAGUAACAGAGGCAGCAUGUAAGCUGCAUUGAGUUACUUUUUUUAUUUAUAAAAUGAAUUAUUUAUGUUUUCUCCAGUAAGUUUUAUGUUGGAAAUAUUGUGGAAAGAGUACAUAAAAAUGAGCCAUGAAUCAAUAGGUAUGCACACUCUGUGGUACAAUAAAAACAAUUCUUUUACGUCAAUCCUGAGAAAUAUAGUGCCUUUCCUCCUUAAUGCUUAGUAGAUCUAUGUUAUGCUUUAAUGUAAUCUCAAGCCAGAACGAAUUUCCUUGACUCGGCUUUAUUUUCCCUCGGUUCGCCUGCAGUUGAGGUACACCUGGCUGUCCAACUAAUGGAUCAAUUUUGACUUUUGACUUGCAGUAUGCAUAUGAUUGGAUAUGCGCUUUCAGCUUUCGUGUCAUCGAUGGUUUCAUAUUCCUCCAUCCUUACUACACUGCCUAUAGUUUCUUAGGAGUAAUGGGAAAUGAUGAGCUCCUACUUUUUAUGCCAGCUCUAUGACGUGGUGCUCUUAAGGCUCCUUGGUCGCUUCGGUGCCCGUGGCAUCCGUGCUCGUCGGUGGGACGGUGCAAGGCGUAACUCCCCCGGCGGCAUGGAUGUGCGGUGUAGGAAGCGGUUCCUCGCCGGCUGGAUGGCGUUCAGGCGCAACCCCGACGCCCACUGAGUACUGCCCCGGCUACAACCUCCCUCGGUGAGCUCCAUCUUCCUAUGGGAUAUGGCCAUGGCUAUAUUGAUGUGGGGCUCGUCUGGUUGAUGCUCUAUGCCCUACUCAUCCAUCGGUUCCUACUUGAGCUAUGUAGUUGUGGAUCCAUGCCAUUUUAGAGUUUGCAGGCUGCUGUUCAUGUUCAGUUGCUAUCAUGGGAGCUCAUGUGAUGCUCUGGUUUACAUGUGGAUGCCCUGGUCCUAUAGCUAUGCUCCUGGAUUUGCUAGAUUGAUCAGUGGCGUUCGUGCUAGGGCGAUGAUGAUUAAUCGUGGCUGAAAUAAGUGUGCUUUUGAGCAAUCAUGGCACCUGUGCGUAUCAGGUUGGAUCCUCCCUCUUGUCUCUAGAAUCCUUUUUGAUCCUGUGAUACUUGUUGUUGUCCUUGGAUGGUCAUUCUUGUUGAGUGAUAACCAGGGCAGCUGCACUGUAUAAACAGAUUGAUCUGGUGAUAAGAGAUGACGGGGGUAGGUUAUACGAUCGAGGAAAGGCGAAUAUGAGCCCACUAUGCAAUGAACCCUGAAUCCCCUUGUUAGAGUCUGAAGCAAAAUGGAGCUCUCCCGUUCGUUUGGAUUCUGGACCGUUCGAUCGUUUUCCUGAUGCGAUUCCGGCCAUCGGAUCUCGGGCUCGGCUCACGUGAGGCGUCGGAUAUUUACCAGAUCGUUGCGAGCCGUUGGAUAAAAUUCCAAUUGCAACAGAAGGUAAAUACCGUGCCCCCACCGGGGCAUCUGUGUCAUUUCGCGUACCGGCUAUAAAAUGACCGCGGCUUCCUGCGAUGAAAACCUAGCAGCCGCCUCCUCUCUCACUCGCUCCUGUAGCCGCCUCCCUCCCUCCCUCCCACACAGGUGGCUCCCACCAACCACGGCGACGGUGGCAGCGGCCAUGGAGGAGGGCGCAGACCAGCGGCGCCGGCGAUGGCGUCCGUGGCAGCUAUGCAAUGAACCCUGAACCAUUUUUAUUUGUAUUUAAAGGUGUUGCUUAUUUAUGCUCAAGUGGUGUUCGUGCUAGGGCGAUGAUGAUUACCUUGGCUGGAAUUAGUGUGCCUUUGAGCAAUCAAGGCACCUGUGGGUAUCAAGUUGGAUCCUCCCUCUUGUCUCUAGAAUCCUUUUUGAUCCUGUGAUACUUGUUGUUGUCCUUGGAUGGUCAUUCUUGUUGAGUGAUAACCAGGGCAGCUGUACUGUAUAAACAGAUUGAUCUGGUGAUAAGAUAUGAUGGGGGUAGGUUAUAUGAUCGAGGAAAGGCGAAUCUGAGCCCACUAUGCAAUAAAACUGCAGCUACCUCCCCUAAUGUGUGUAGUAUUGAAGGCAUAAAAGAACUUUUCAUGUCUUGCUACUUUAAAAUUCCAAAGAGGUUCAUUCUUCCUUUGCUGGUUACUUAACCAUGAUUUUUGUUUUGCUUUGGUUUUGGUUGAGAUACUAAAGGUUGUUUAUAUAUGAAAAGAACAAACAUUUGGUAGUUUUGUAUGCCUCAACUGUUGCUUAGGAUCCAGUGUUGUAGUGCUUUGCCUAAUUACAAAUAACUCUAAUCAAUAAUAGUGAUUCUUUCCUUCUGAUUUGAACUGAGAGAGAACCACGGAUUCUUGAUCUUAAGGUGACCCCAUUUUUCUAUGCCUCAUGCCCAUGCUGCUCUAUGUUCCCUUUUAAAAAUUCUUGCUUGCAUUUUGGGUUGGUUUCUGCUCUAUGUUCCCUUUUAGCGUUUCUUUCUGUUGUUGCUGCACUCCCUUUUGGGCGUUCAUUUUUUAUGCCCAAGAUCUUGCAAAUUGUGCCUGUGCCGAGCUUGCUUUAGAGUACGGGCUGCAGAGACGUCGAGGACCUCAAGGUCACCGAUGUUGCGGAGCUGGAUGAGGUUUCCGGGCAGUUCAUCGACCGCCUGUUCUUCCUGGAGAAGAGAUGAUUUACUCUGCCAGGCGGUAGCACUCGAAGCACACAGGCUGAACCUCAACAACAACCCCUACUUUUCUGGGCCCUAAUGUAAGAUCAAUCACGCCUGUUACUUGAAGCUAGAGUGUACUCUGAAGUAAUCUGAAGUUUGAAGAUUUGAUAGCUCUGGAUCAUCAUCAUGCAUGUUGCAACGGCUGUGACGGCGUCGAGGCUCGGGCGUGUGGCCGUCGACGUGGAGCAGGCAGAGGAGUGACUACUACCCCAAUGGCAGCCUCUUCUCCCUUGUCCACGUUCGGUUGGUGCCGUGGCAGAGGGUUGUCUUGUGGUUUGACCAGAGAGGGAGCACACCAAAGAAGCGAUCUCGUCCCCAUUGGUCAGGUACCCUUCGUCUUUCUCUCGUUCGACCUCUCCAAGAAAGUUAUAUAGGCAGAGUAAGCUAAUUGUGUUUUCCGCGUGUUGUAUAGGAUACUACGGUUAAAUAUUGUUCUCAUUUAUAUUGAUGUUGCUGAUUAUCAAAUCAAUGGCUGUUAUCUAGAGUGCUUCUCCUUCAGAUUUGACGUACUAUUUCUUCCAGCUUAUACUAUAUAUGAUUUCUUUCCACGGUUUUAACUAAUUAUGGAUAUGUAUCAAAUUAUGUUAUUUUGGCAUCAACAAAAUACUCACCUGGCAUUUAUUCUGCUAUAUGGAAACAAUCGGUGCCUAUUUCUUUUUGAUCUGAACUCGGACAUAAUUCUGCUAUAUGUAAACAACCAUUGGUUCUUUCUUUUCUAUCUAAACUGAGAAAUAACUCUAAUCAGUUGUUUUUUUAUUUACUGUCCAAGUAUCAUUCUUACCUAAAACUUGUGCCAAAAAUGGACAUUGACCUCUAGGAUGGUCUCACUGAAACUGACAUACCCUCCCUCCUACUCUUCAGACUUCUACAACUAUAUGUAUUACUCAUGUUUGUUGCUCUCCCAAUGAAACAUACCACAUGCCCAGCAAAAAAACAAAGUCCGUCCUACUGCCCGCAGGACUUUAGUCUUUAAAGACUAAAUGCAUGGGUCGCAUGUAAGCUGGUUUUUAAAAUCGUUUCCUAUAGCAUCUACAGAAUUUAUCAGUGUUUAAGCAGCAUACGUGCUCUUCUCUGCAGCUAUCGACUGUUGUUGAGAAUCUCGAAAGACACGCUUCAGUAUUAUGCCUCUUAUAAGCGAGAAGCCUGAAUUUGUGCUCUCUUUUGGUAGAUGCAGUAUGUAAUAACGAAUCACGCCGACCUCUGUCUAAAUGCAUGGAACUUGGUGUUGAGUUAUCUGAAUUGCUGCCCAGGAUUCAGUUUGUACUUUAUUUACCUAUAAUAUGGUAUGUAAUGACAAGGAAGUCGAGGACUAGGUAUGGAUGUUGUUUAACUAUA